rnacentral:lncRNA from 1 species
AUGGGCCGUGCACCCCUAGGAUGUGUCCCAGGAUGCAUGUUGGGGUGCCCCCAGCGUGUGCCCCAGGGGCUGUACCAUGACCCCCAGGAUGUCCCCCAAAUGCUUCACCCCCUCAGCUGCUCCCCUCUGCCCUCCCAGCUGGUGUCACCAGGGUCUUCCCCCACUGGAGGGGGGUACAUGGGGGGCUGCAUUGGGGUGGGGGGCUGCAAGCCCCUGGUUCCCAUCCCAUCACCUCCAGGGCUGGCUGGGGCUGCAGGCAGGGAGGGGACUGUCCCCACAGCCCGGCUGCAGCUCGCCCUGCUGCCAGGACACCCCGGGGGGGGCAGCCAGCACCUGCCCCAGGGCCAGAGCCCUGCCUGGCCCCCAUGUCCUGCUGCCAGGGGAGCGUGGGCAGCCCCGGAGCCUGCCCUGAUGACCCGCGGGCACUUGUGGCCACCUUGGGACCUUUCUCCAGGAGCCACAUCUGCCCCCCAUCCCGAGGGACCGCAGGGGCUCCGCUCCCACCGCGGGGCCUGGACGCCACGUGCCAGCGUGACGGUCACCCAGCGCCAGCCUCAGCGUCACCCUCGUGGCCACCCGAAGGCCGGGGCUGCCCAGGGGGUUAAUCAUUGCCCAGAGCAGCUGGGCCAAGGCGGGCGUGAAAAGCUGUGCCGUUCCCAGGGCUGUUUUCCUUUCAUCAGCCCCGUCCCCCAAGCACUGGAACACAGAGCAAAUAUCUGGCAGGGCAUGGGGCAGUGGUGGCCCGUGGGAUGGGGACAUCGGUGGGCUCCGGAGCACCGAGCGAGGCUGGUGGGAUGCUGGCAGGGGGUGGGCUUGCUCCUGCCACGCUUUAGGCUUCCUCAAGCGGGUUUCUUGGCAUCUGUGAUCAUAAUGUUGCAGCGAUGGAGGAUCUGGGGUGGGCGCUUUCCCAUGGAGUGGAACUGCCAUGGCUCCAGCUCCCGCUCUGCCCAUGAACCCAUCAGCAGCACCCAACAAGGGGGUCUCGGAGAGCCCCAGCCCCACGGCUCCCUACAGCCAGGGUGGAGGAAAGGAGGAAGGAUGGAAACCCCCCGGGGGAAGUGUGGGAGCGCCGUUCCUUCGCGUUCGCUUUGGCCAAAGGAGCUGCCAAAGGGCAGGUUGGCAUCGCCGGUGCGGGACGGUCACCUGGGGACAGGCAAGACGUCCCUGUGGUGGCACCACCUGGCAGCGUGGGCAUCGCUGCUUCCCGUCGUGGCGCUGCCCCAAUGCCACGGGUUGGGGUGUGAUAGGAGCAGCCACAUCAGCUGA